AGCAGCCGCGGUAAUUCCAGCUCCAAUAGCGUAUAUUAAAGUUGUUGCAGUUAAAAAGCUCGUAGUUGAAUUUCGGGGUUAGUAGGUUGGUCAUGCCUCUGGUAUGUACUGGUCUCACUGAUUCCUCCAUCCUGAUGAACCUUAAUGCCAUUAAUUUGGUGUUUUGGGGAAUUUGGACUGUUACUUUGAAAAAAUUAGAGUGUUUAAAGCAAGCUAACGCUUGAAUACAUUAGCAUGGAAUAAUGAAAUAGGACGUUCGAUCCUAUUUUGUUGGUUUCUAGGAUUGACGUAAUGAUUAAUAGGGAUAGUUGGGGGCAUUAGUAUUCAAUUGUCAGAGGUGAAAUUCUUGGAUUUAUUGAAGACUAACUACUGCGAAAGCAUUUGCCAAGGAUGUUUUCAUUAAUCAAGAACGAAAGUUAGGGGAUCGAAGACGAUCAGAUACCGUCGUAGUCUUAACCAUAAACUAUGCCGACUAGGGAUCGGAUGAUGUUAAUUUUUAAUGU
rnacentral:rRNA from 1 species